UUUUCUUUGAUAAACCUCUGCAUUCUCAACUGGAGUUUGACAAAUACUUUGCAUUUGGAGGAACCAAAAGUUAGCAUAAAAGAGCAUUUACAUUGCCAAAGAACACAAGUUUCUAGGUAGAUAUGCUCCUCUAACCAUUAUAUUUGAUUCUACCAUUCAACAAAUUGGGAGUGAAAAAUUUAUCAAAGAAAACCCUCUUUAGGUAUAGAACAUGCCUUCACAC
rnacentral:misc_RNA from 1 species